UUCACCCAGAGGGACUGCAGACCCUCUGAACGGGUCCAAUAAGACCCGGGCUGGAGAUGCCCUCCAUAGUCCCUGGGUGCCCGAGGCCAGUCCGCCUCCGGAGACACGGACACCAGAGCAAAGACAACAGGCUGAGUCCGUUGUCGGGAAAAUGCCAGGGUCUGGUUUGCUUUCUGUUCUUUGCAUAAUUUCCAAAACCGUGGGACUGUGAACUCAAUGCUGGGACUUCCCAGAGCCCUGGAGCAGGUUCACACAAGUCCCGAUGCUACAGCUGCACAGGUUCAAGCAGGUUCGCUUUUGCGGGGAGUCCCAUGGAGGGAUCAAUCUCGCACACCCAGUGAAACCAACCUUCUUUCUAGGGGAACCCAAUGGUCAGAGGGGAACCACCCCAUGGAGAGGCCCUGGUGGCCAACAGGGCUCUGAAUCCUGGCAACAGCCUUGCUGAAGCUGAAGCUGCAAUACUGUGGCCGCCUGGUGUGAAGAGCAGAUGCACUGGAAAAGACGCUGAUGCUGGGAAAGACUGAAGGCAGGAUGAGAAGGGGACCACAGGAUGAGAAGGGUGGAUGGCAUCACCAACUCAAUGGACAUGAGUGUGAGCAAACUCCGGGAGAUGGUGAUGGACAGGGAGGCCUGGCGUGCUGCGGUCCAUGGGGUCGCAAAGAGUCGGACACGACUGAGCAUCUGAACAGCGACAACAGCCCUGUGAGUGAGGGGGCUCCUUCUCCAGCCAGGCCUCCCGGCGAUACCUCGAGACCCCAGGUCAGGAGACCCUGCUGCCUCCUGUGCCUGGAUUCCUCCCCUGCUCAGCCUGGGUCUGCCGGGCGGGGUCUGUCGUUAGGAGUGGUUGGUCACCCUGGAGCAGUGGUGGCCGAUCAAUCUUUCAGGCACAGUGUCCUGGCCCCGGUCCAAGGACUGGAGCACCUUCCUGUCUCUCCGGGCUUCCUGUGUCCCCCAGCCUCCACGGUGGCUAGAGAGAGCCAGUGACCCUGGGAUUCAUUCUUUUCACGUGAUCUGCCUCUGCGCUUGGAAGCGUGUAGGCUCCCCGCUUUUUGUCCGGUGCCCUGCAGUCUCCACAGCUGUGUCUCCGUGGGCCUUCCUCCUCCCCUGGGAGGGCGGAGCCCUGUGACUCUGGAGGCACAGGCCUUCCCCACGAGGACCACCCCCUUGCCUGGCCAUUGCUGUCAUUCAUGUCAGAUCUCCUGAACUCAUCCUCUUGCUGUUCCUGGCUUUCCUGUGAUUUACGCUUUUGUCUUUUUGUUGUAUUUUCGGAUUUUCAUCGCUCUACUCUCCUAUCUUUCUGUU